UUAAAUUGAAGAGUUUGAUCAUGGCUCAGAUUGAACGCUGGCGGCAGGCCUAACACAUGCAAGUCGAACGGUAGCACAGAGAGCUUGCUCUCGGGUGACGAGUGGCGGACGGGUGAGUAAUGUCUGGGAAACUGCCCGAUGGAGGGGGAUAACUACUGGAAACGGUAGCUAAUACCGCAUAACGUCUUCGGACCAAAGUGGGGGACCUUCGGGCCUCACACCAUCGGAUGUGCCCAGAUGGGAUUAGCUAGUAGGUGGGGUAAUGGCUCACCUAGGCGACGAUCCCUAGCUGGUCUGAGAGGAUGACCAGCCACACUGGAACUGAGACACGGUCCAGACUCCUACGGGAGGCAGCAGUGGGGAAUAUUGCACAAUGGGCGCAAGCCUGAUGCAGCCAUGCCGCGUGUAUGAAGAAGGCCUUCGGGUUGUAAAGUACUUUCAGCGGGGAGGAAGGCGUUAAGGUUAAUAACCUUGGCGAUUGACGUUACCCGCAGAAGAAGCACCGGCUAACUCCGUGCCAGCAGCCGCGGUAAUACGGAGGGUGCAAGCGUUAAUCGGAAUUACUGGGCGUAAAGCGCACGCAGGCGGUCUGUCAAGUCGGAUGUGAAAUCCCCGGGCUUAACCUGGGAACUGCAUUCGAAACUGGCAGGCUAGAGUCUUGUAGAGGGGGGUAGAAUUCCAGGUGUAGCGGUGAAAUGCGUAGAGAUCUGGAGGAAUACCGGUGGCGAAGGCGGCCCCCUGGACAAAGACUGACGCUCAGGUGCGAAAGCGUGGGGAGCAAACAGGAUUAGAUACCCUGGUAGUCCACGCCGUAAACGAUGUCGACUUGGAGGUUGUGCCCUUGAGGCGUGGCUUCCGGAGCUAACGCGUUAAGUCGACCGCCUGGGGAGUACGGCCGCAAGGUUAAAACUCAAAUGAAUUGACGGGGGCCCGCACAAGCGGUGGAGCAUGUGGUUUAAUUCGAUGCAACGCGAAGAACCUUACCUACUCUUGACAUCCAGCGAAUUCGGUAGAGAUACCUUAGUGCCUUCGGGAACGCUGAGACAGGUGCUGCAUGGCUGUCGUCAGCUCGUGUUGUGAAAUGUUGGGUUAAGUCCCGCAACGAGCGCAACCCUUAUCCUUUGUUGCCAGCGGUCCGGCCGGGAACUCAAAGGAGACUGCCAGUGAUAAACUGGAGGAAGGUGGGGAUGACGUCAAGUCAUCAUGGCCCUUACGAGUAGGGCUACACACGUGCUACAAUGGCGCAUACAAAGAGAAGCGACCUCGCGAGAGCAAGCGGACCUCAUAAAGUGCGUCGUAGUCCGGAUUGGAGUCUGCAACUCGACUCCAUGAAGUCGGAAUCGCUAGUAAUCGUAGAUCAGAAUGCUACGGUGAAUACGUUCCCGGGCCUUGUACACACCGCCCGUCACACCAUGGGAGUGGGUUGCAAAAGAAGUAGGUAGCUUAACCUUCGGGAGGGCGCUUACCACUUUGUGAUUCAUGACUGGGGUGAAGUCGUAACAAGGUAACCGUAGGGGAACCUGCGGUUGGAUCACCUCCUUACCUGAA
rnacentral:rRNA from 1 species